UAGUACGAGAGGACCGGGGUGGACGUACCUCUGGUGUAUCGAUUGUGGCCACCUGCUGCAUUGUCGAGUAGCUAUGUACGGACUAGAUAAGCGCUGAAAGCAUAUUAAGCGCGAAACUAACCUCAAGAUUAGAUUUCCCUAUGAGGACACAGAGAGACUAUCUGUUUGAUAGGUGCAAGGUGGAAGUGCAGCAAUGUAUGGAGCCGAAGCAUACUAAUAGUCCCAUUGCCUUUUUAUG
rnacentral:rRNA from 1 species